UUCAGGUUGAGACUGAGUUGGAGUGUGAGAAUCAAGAUACUACGUGAUUCUGGAAACUUCGGUGUUGGGCGUGACUUCCUGGUGCAUAAGAGUUUCCAGUAUUACAUCGCUUCUUGGUUGCUCAUAUUAGAUGAAUACCAAGUCCCCGAGCCUCAUGUUGAAAUGUUUGUCUACCAGGUUUGCCAAUUUGAUUAGAUGUAUGUGUGUUCUCAUGGGAAUGUGAAACUCCCAUUCCGAAGAUAUCGUAACUCCUAAUAUCACUUCCCAUGGAGUAUUUGUUCAUGAAAAUUGAGGAAAGAGAAACGGAAGGUGGAAACUUCUACAAUCUGAAAUGAGCAUCCAUACGAAGGUGUCCAGACUAAGGUCAUCAAAGACAAUGAUAGGGAAGAGAAGUAAUUUAGGAAAAUUUCUUCUCCUUGACAUCUGGAGAAGAAUGACAAACCAGUUGAUCUAAGGUGUCCAAGGGAUGGAUUAUGUGCCUGAGCUGAUGGAUAAUGCUUUAAUUGAUGAUCGAGGAUACAUGUGGACUUCAGUCAGACUGUUUCUAAGCUGUGGUCUCAAUACAAGCGUAAAGAGCAUCAAACUGGUAAAGGGAGAGAUACCACUGCCGACUUUGAUGGUGUUGUAGAUAAUAAAAGUAACAUAGACCUCAUGCAAUGUUUUUGCGUAGGGGGAUGUUGAAUGUGGACGAGCUUCUGAACCUCCAACUGUUAUCCCUGACAAGUUGAAGGAAGAUUGAACUGAUGCGUAUGGUACUAUAAAUGUUAGGUUAAAUUUUUAUGCGUGUGUUGAUCGAAAUUCUGCAGGGAAGGAGCUGUGUUCAAGCAUAAGAAUCAAAUUAAACGCAUCCCUUCAUCACCAGCAACGGGCACACAAGCUGUUUGUAUAAAUUCCUGAAUGAGGUUUGAAGUUGCGUGAAAAGUUAUUUGAGAUAAUAUCGAAGUAGGCUGUUUUGGAACUUUGGUCUAUUGUAGAAACGUGCGGAGUACAUAUACAACGAUGAAUGUGCAGACUUGCACUCUGCAUUUUUUUUUGCUCGGCUACUUGCACAUCUGCAUAGAGUUUUAGAAUUGAUUUAAUUUUGUUUAUAGAGAAAAAUAAUGUUAUGUGGAGAAGAGUUGUUGCUAUCACAGUUCACUUCCACAGUAUACGAAUCAAUGCAACCACGCUAACUGUAAACCAGUAAGCCUAUCUUGCCUGACGGUUAGAUAGAAGAGGAUAAAUACCAAAGUAUUUGGUAGGGGAGUCAACGUUAAGAAGUGAAUGUGUUUUGUUGAUUUGGCAUUUACUUGAACUGCAGUUGAAACCCAUAAAUGGACUAAUCGCAAAAAAGAACAAUUCGUCACAGGGAAAGUGGCUGAUAACUUUGAAGGUUUAUCCUUUCUAUAUUACUUCAUGGAAAGCGAUUACUGCCUAGUGCCUACCUAGCUAUAGAGUUCGUACCGACCGUGACAUACACGGAAGGGCAAUUAAUUUCUUUUAAAAUGUAUCAGCAAUUUCAUUCUUAAUUAUUAUUGUUAAUAGUGA